rnacentral:rRNA from 1 species
CCUACGGGGGGCAGCAGUAGGGAAUAUUGCUCAAUGGGGGAAACCCUGAAGCAGCAACGCCGCGUGGAGGAUGAAGGUUUUCGGAUUGUAAACUCCUUUUGUUAGAGAAGAUAAUGACGGUAUCUAACGAAUAAGCACCGGCUAACGCCGUGCCAGCAGCCGCGGUAAUACGGAGGGUGCAAGCGUUAAUCGGAAUCACUGGGCGUAAAGAGCGCGUAGGCGGGAUAGCAAGUCAGAUGUGAAAUCCUAGGGCUUAACCAUAGAACUGCAUUUGAAACUGGUAUUCUAGAGUAUGGGAGAGGUAGGUAGAAUUCUUGGUGUAGGGGUAAAAUCCGUAGAGAUCAAGAGGAAUACUCAUUGCGAAGGCGACCUGCUAGAACAUAACUGACGCUGAUGCGCGAAAGCGUGGGGAGCAAACAGGAUUAGAUACCCCUGUAGUC